rnacentral:rRNA from 1 species
CAGACAGCUCACUACACGUGGCUAACCUGCCCUUGGGAUGGGAACAACCCCGGGAAACUGGGGCUAAUUCCCGAUAGGUGAAGAACUCUGGAAUGAGUCUUUGCCCAAAAGGUGUCGGAUCAUGCUUUCGGCAUCGCCUAAGGAUGGGGCCGCGACCGAUCAGGUUGUUGGUGAGGUAAUGGCCCACCAAGCCUAUAACCGGUGCGGGCCGUGAGAGCGGGAGCCCGGAGAUGGGCACUGAGACAAGGGCCCAGGUCCUACGGGGCGCAGCAGUCGCGAAACCUUUGCAAUACACGAAAGUGUGACAGGGUCAUCCCGAGUGCCGACCGCUGAGGUUGGCUUUUACCCAGUCUAGAAAGCUGGGGGAAUAAGGAGAGGGCAAGUCUGGUGUCAGCCGCCGCGGUAAUACCAGCUCUCCGAGUGGUGUGGACGUUUAUUGGGCCUAAAGCAUCCGUAGCUGGCUGAACAAGUCCCCUGUUAAACCCACCGAUUUAAUCGUUGGUCUGCGGGGGAUACUGCUCGGCUAGGGGACGAGAGAGGCAGACGGUAUUCCCGGGGUAGGGGUGAAAUCCUAUAAUCCCGAGAAGACCACCAGUGGCGAAGGCUGUCUGCUAGAACGCGCCCGACGGUGAGGGAUGAAAGC